rnacentral:miRNA from 1 species
GCCAGUGUUCAGUCUAUUGUUUCA